UACGUAGGUGGCAAGCGUUGCCCGGAUUUACUGGGUGUAAAGGGUGCGCAGGCGGGCUCAUAAGUCGGGGGUUAAAUCCAUGUGCUUAACACAUGCAUGGCUUCCGAUACUGUGAGUCUAGAGUCUCGAAGAGGAAGAUGGAAUUUCCGGUGUAACGGUGGAAUGUGUAGAUAUCGGAAAGAACACCAGUGGCGAAGGCAGUCUUCUGGUCGAGAACUGACGCUCAGGCACGAAAGCGUGGGGAGCAAACAGG
rnacentral:rRNA from 1 species